rnacentral:lncRNA from 1 species
AGCCCAGCGGCGCGCAAAAAUUCAUCACAUGGCCACUCGCACGCUCGAACUUCUGUGACUCGAGGGACUACGUACUUGGGGUGGUUCUUCUCAUCCUCCUUGGGGUUACGGCUUGAAGAACCUCUCAAGAACCUCCUCAUCUUUUCCUUUUUCUAGCUCUGAAAAAUUCUGAAAUUUUUAGAGACUUCGAAAGAAAAGUGAAUAAAGAUUAACCCAACUUGUAGCAACUACUCCUACUA